rnacentral:rRNA from 1 species
GACGUAGGGCGCGAGCGUUGUCCGGAUUUAUUGGGCGUAAAGAGCUCGUAGGCGGCUUGUCGCGUCGUUCGUGAAAACCUGGGGCUCAACUCCAGGCUUGCGGGCGAUACGGGCAGGCUAGAGUUCGGUAGGGGAGACUGGAAUUCCUGGUGUAGCGGUGAAAUGCGCAGAUAUCGGGAGGAACACCAGUGGCGAAGGCGGCGAUCUGGACAGAUAUUGACGCUGAGGUGCGAAAGCGUGGGGAGCAAACAGG